UGCACACCCCCUACUGGAGAUGUGCCCGCAAUCAAGGUACAUGCCCUUGACCGGAAUCGAACCUGGGACCUUUCAGUCUGCGGGCCGAUGCUCUAUCCACUGAGUCAAACCGGUUUCGGCUUGUUCAAUUCUUGAGGUAAAGUUUGGGAGAGGGUGUGAGGUGUUACGUAGUAAUUCUGCCUAGUAGUCCUUUCCUCCUUGGGACAUGGAUAUUGCUGCCACUUGAGUUUUGCUGGUUUUAGCCCGUAGGAGACACGAAAGCCUUCUAGGGUCACUUUAAGGAUAGGUUUACUUCGUCAAAAGUAAAGGACCAGAUGGACUGCAGACCGGUGGAAACACAGACCAGGAGACUUUGACCAGUGGGAUGCAGCAAGCUAUUUGGCUGCCAGUGAGGUUCUGCCAAGAAUCUUGAUUUCAGACCUCAGAGUCGUCACCUGUAAAAUGAGGCAGAUGACCUCUGAAACUUUAAGCAUAUGUCUGCUCUGGUCCGAGGCCUGGCUCUGUGUCUGUCACUUUUGGCACCCCAUGCUGGUUCCAGAAACAAGUCCAGUGGGCCACCAAAUGGAUGGGGCUAAGGUGAGAUGAGAGCUACAGGGUUCUGAUGACUAGGGCGCUUUCUUACCACCUACUCAGUGUUUAGGUGAGUGGUAUUCUGGGGACCCCUGGUGGCCAGGCAUUAUUAUUACUAUUGUCAGGAAAAAGGAUGAACAAGAUGCACGUUAGUCUUUAAUUAACUUUUAAUAGUAUAAACCUCAUUUAGGUAGUAGUAUUAAGCCACAACAAUGCCACAUUGAAACAGCAUUUAAUAAAAUGCAUAAAGCUAAUUCAUGCACUGCAAUACUCUAUAUACAAACACAACAAUGCAAAUUAUUCUUCAAGACUGAAGACAUUGAUUAGAUAUAAAAUUCAAUUAAAAAAGAACAUGCUAUUUUAAAUGCCAUCACAUAAACAAAGCUGAUUUCAAGCUACAUUUUUAACAGGUUUUAAACCUGGAAUUAAAAUGUAAUGGCAUAAACAAUAUUUUCUAUAUUGAGAAGGGCAGAGGUUACAGAAACGGUCCCAAGAAAAUCUAACACCCAAGUUUUCCUUUAAUGUCUUUUAAAAGGGCUGGUAAUACUUAGCUACAUUUUAACAGCUCCAAACUACAGGUAAAAACUAUGGUUUGUACUAUGAAAAAGGUGCAGCUUUUCAGUUAUAAAACUAGUUGAACACUGGUUUACAAGAUAAUUGGGAGGAUAUAGAAAAAUAUUCCAGCACUUGAGUUGUACAUGGCAGCAGCAUGAGUCCAUGAAUGCUCUUGUUGUUAAAAUGGCAACUGAUUAUACUUUCCUAGAGAAAAGCCAUUUAUUUUUCAUGUCUACUUCCCAAUAUUAUCCAAAUAUUAAGCUUUAUCACAACCUGUCAAUUGAUAAAUGUUGCUGAGCAUUUUUUUCAACAUUUUUAUAGCACUUUUUCUAUUAUACAUAGUAUGCAUUUUGGAACACCAAAAUUAUUGGCUUAAUCAAAAGUAUAGCUGGGCAUUAAAAAUCUCUCAGGCUUUCCCUUUAUUUUUAGAUUGCUGCUAAUAGCCCCAAAUGAAAAGUCCUAAAGACUCACUUAGAGACUGGAAAGCUUCCAUUUGUAUUAUCUGAAUUGGAAAGCUACCUUCAAUAGUGAUUGUCACGACAGGCAAGGACAUGGGAAAGGUGACAAUCGCUGCUGGGCGGCCAGUGAAGCAGCGGGAGCUUUAUAUCACAGAUGGGGAAGCUGGAGGCUGAGUGGCCCAGUCUCACAAAAGGCACUGAGUACUAUGGUCUCAAUGAAGUGUUUUCAAACAUUUCAACAGAUUAAAAAAAGAAAAC